rnacentral:rRNA from 1 species
GUAGGUGGCAAGCGUUGUCCGGAAUUAUUGGGCGUAAAGCGCGCGCAGGCGGUUCUUUAAGUCUGAUGUGAAAGCCCACGGGCUCAACCGUGGAGGGUCAUUGGAAACUGGAGAACUUGAGUACAGAAGAGGAAAGCGGAAUUCCACGUGUAGCGGUGAAAUGCGUAGAGAUGUGGAGGAACACCAGCGGCGAAGGCGGCUUCUGGUCUGUAACUGACGCUGAGGCGCGAAAGCGUGGGGAGCAAACAGGAUUAGAUACCCUGGUAGUCCACGCCGUAAACGAUGAGUGCUAAGUGUUAGGGGGUUUCCGCCCCUUAGUGCUGCAGCUAACGCAUUAAGCACUCCGCCUGGGGAGUACGACCGCAAGGUUG